rnacentral:rRNA from 1 species
UAUCUCUGUAGAGUCUGCAUAUCAAUAAGCGGAGGAAAAGAAACUAACUAGGAUUCCCUCAGUAACGGCGAGUGAAGCGGGAAGAGCUCAAAUUUGAAAUCUUCAAGGUUUUACCUUGACGAAUUGUAGUUUAAAGAAGUGUUUUCUGUUGGAGCUUUUGGUAAAAGUUCUUUGGAAUAGGACAUCAUAGAGGGUGAGAAUCCCGUAUUUGACCAUUAUUUCCAGCUUUGUGAUACACUUUCAAAGAGUCGGAUUGUUUGGGAAUGCAGUCCAAAAUGGGUGGUAAAUUUCAUCUAAAGCUAAAUAUUGGCGAGAGACCGAUAGCGAACGAGUACCGUGAGGGAAAGAUGAAAAGAACUUUGAAAAGAGAGUUAAACAGUACGUGAAAUUGUCAAAAGGGAAGCGUUUGACACCAGUAGUUGUUUUCUCGAAAAUCAAUUAAAAAGUGUUGGAUUUUGUAUUGUUAAGACCUUAUCAGCUUACUGUACUCUUUUCCUGCUCUUUUUAAUGCACUUUUCGUUUAACAAGUCAACAUCAAUUUCUUUUGUUGUAAAAGAGUCAUUGGAAGGUGGCUUUCACUUCGGUGAAAGUGUUUAUAGCCUUUGGCUUCUGCAAUCGGAGAGAUUGAGGUCUGCAGCGUAGAUCCUUCGGGGUUAGAUACGUAGAUGCUAAGUUAUAGCCUUUCAUAGACGACUUGUUGACUAUGAUCAGUCAUGUAGCUUACUCGCUUAUGCUAUUUUACCUACGCUUAGGAUGUUGAGUCAUCACACAUCUCU